rnacentral:rRNA from 1 species
GACGAACGCUGGCGGCGUGCCUAAUACAUGCAAGUUGAGCGCUGAAGGUUGGUACUUGUACCAACUGGAUGAGCAGCGAACGGGUGAGUACCGCGUGGGGAAUCUGCCUUUGAGCGGGGGACAACAUUUGGAAACGAAUGCUAAUACCGCAUAAAAACUUUAAACACAAGUUUUAAGUUUGAAAGAUGCAAUUGCAUCACUCAAAGAUGAUCCCGCGUUGUAUUAGCUAGUUGGUGAGGUAAAGGCUCACCAAGGCGAUGAUACAUAGCCGACCUGAGAGGGUGAUCGGCCACAUUGGGACUGAGACACGGCCCAAACUCCUACGGGAGGCAGCAGUAGGGAAUCUUCGGCAAUGGACGAAAGUCUGACCGAGCAACGCCGCGGGAGUGAAGAAGGUUUUCGGAUCGUAAAACUCUGUUGGUAGAGAAGAACGUUGGUGAGAGUGGAAAGCUCAUCAAGUGACGGUAACUACCCAGAAAGGGACGGCUAACUACGUG